GUUAAUAUUCCCGUACUUGGUGUUACUGCGAAGGGGGGACGGAGAAGGCUAUGUUGGCCGGGCGACGGUUGUCCCGGUUUAAGCGUGUAGGUGUGUGUUCCAGGUAAAUCCGGUUCACUUUAACACUGAGGCGUGACGACGAGGCACUACGGUGCUGAAGCAACAAAUGCCCUGCUUCCAGGAAAAGCCUCUAAGCAUCAGGUAACAUCAAAUCGUACCCCAAACCGACACAGGUGGUCAGGUAGAGAAUACCAAGGCGCUUGAGAGAACUCGGGUGAAGGAACUAGGCAAAAUGGUGCCGUAACUUCGGGAGAAGGCACGCUGACACGUAGGUGAAGUGAUUUACUCAUGGAGCUGAAGUCAGUCGAAGAUACCAGCUGGCUGCAACUGUUUAUUAAAAACACAGCACUGUGCAAACACGAAAGUGGACGUAUACGGUGUGACGCCUGCCCGGUGCCGGAAGGUUAAUUGAUGGGGUCAGCGCAAGCGAAGCUCCUGAUCGAAGCCCCGGUAAACGGCGGCCGUAACUAUAACGGUCCUAAGGUAGCGAAAUUCCUUGUCGGGUAAGUUCCGACCUGCACGAAUGGCGUAAUGAUGGCCAGGCUGUCUCCACCCGAGACUCAGUGAAAUUGAACUCGCUGUGAAGAUGCAGUGUACCCGCGGCAAGACGGAAAGACCCCGUGAACCUUUACUAUAGCUUGACACUGAACAUUGAGCCUUGAUGUGUAGGAUAGGUGGGAGGCUUUGAAGUGUGGACGCCAGUCUGCAUGGAGCCGACCUUGAAAUACCACCCUUUAAUGUUUGAUGUUCUAACGUGGACCCGUUACCCGGGUUGCGGACAGUGUCUGGUGGGUAGUUUGACUGGGGCGGUCUCCUCCUAAAGAGUAACGGAGGAGCACGAAGGUUGGCUAAUCCUGGUCGGACAUCAGGAGGUUAGUGCAAUGGCAUAAGCCAGCUUGACUGCGAGCGUGACGGCGCGAGCAGGUGCGAAAGCAGGUCAUAGUGAUCCGGUGGUUCUGAAUGGAAGGGCCAUCGCUCAACGGAUAAAAGGUACUCCGGGGAUAACAGGCUGAUACCGCCCAAGAGUUCAUAUCGACGGCGGUGUUUGGCACCUCGAUGUCGGCUCAUCACAUCCUGGGGCUGAAGUAGGUCCCAAGGGUAUGGCUGUUCGCCAUUUAAAGUGGUACGCGAGCUGGGUUUAGAACGUCGUGAGACAGUUCGGUCCCUAUCUGCCGUGGGCGCUGGAGAACUGAGGGGGGCUGCUCCUAGUACGAGAGGACCGGAGUGGACGCAUCACUGGUGUUCGGGUUGUCAUGCCAAUGGCACUGCCCGGUAGCUAAAUGCGGAAGAGAUAAGUGCUGAAAGCAUCUAAGCACGAAACUUGCCCCGAGAUGAGUUCUCCCUGAGACUUAGAGUCUCCUGAAGGAACGUUGAAGACGACGACGUUGAUAGGCCGGGUGUGUAAGCGCAGCGAUGCGUUGAGCUAACCGGUACUAAUGAACCGUGAGGCUUAACC
rnacentral:rRNA from 1 species